AGUCGAGCGCACCUUCGGGUGAGCGGCGGACGGGUUAGUAACGCGUGGGAACAUACCCUUUGGUACGGAAUAGCCUCUGGAAACGGAGAGUAAUACCGUAUGAGCCCUUCGGGGGAAAGAUUUAUCGCCAAAGGAUUGGCCCGCGUUAGAUUAGGUAGUUGGUGGGGUAAUGGCCUACCAAGCCUACGAUCUAUAGCUGGUUUUAGAGGAUGAUCAGCAACACUGGGACUGAGACACGGCCCAGACUCCUACGGGAGGCAGCAGUGGGGAAUCUUGGACAAUGGGGGCAACCCUGAUCCAGCCAUGCCGCGUGAGUGAUGAAGGCCUUAGGGUCGUAAAGCUCUUUCGCCUGUGAAGAUAAUGACGGUAGCAGGUAAAGAAACCCCGGCUAACUCCGUGCCAGCAGCCGCGGUAAUACGGAGGGGGUUAGCGUUGUUCGGAAUUACUGGGCGUAAAGCGCACGUAGGCGGACUGGAAAGUUGGGGGUGAAAUCCCAGGGCUCAACCCUGGAACUGCCUCCAAAACUAUCAGUCUAGAGUUCGAGAGAGGUGAGUGGAAUUCCGAGUGUAGAGGUGAAAUUCGUAGAUAUUCGGAGGAACACCAGUGGCGAAGGCGGCUCACUGGCUCGAUACUGACGCUGAGGUGCGAAAGUGUGGGGAGCAAACAGGAUUAGAUACCCUGGUAGUCCACACCGUAAACGAUGAAUGCC
rnacentral:rRNA from 1 species